rnacentral:rRNA from 1 species
UACGGAGGAUGCGAGCGUUAUCCGGAUUUAUUGGGUUUAAAGGGUGCGUAGGCGGCAUUAUAAGUUAGUGGUAAAAUAUUGGGGCUUCACCUCACUACGCCAUUAAUACUGUAGAGCUAGAGAACAGACGAGGUAGGCGGAAUAAGUUAAGUAGCGGUGAAAUGCAUAGAUAUAACUUAGAACACCGAUAGCGAAGGCAGCUUACUAAGCCAUAACUGACACUGAAGCACGAAAGCGUGGGGAUCAAACAGG